rnacentral:rRNA from 1 species
UUCUGACCUCGGAUCAGGUGGGACUACCCGCUGAACUUAAGCAUAUCAAUAAGCGGAGGAAAAGAAACUAACAAGGAUUCCCUUAGUAACUGCGAGUGAAGUGGGAUGAGCUCAAAUUUAAAAUCUGGUAGUCUCUGGCUGCCCGAGUUGUAAUCUAGAGAAGUGUUUUCUGUGCUGGACUGUGUUUAAGUUUCCUGGAUAUGGAACAUCAUAGAGGGUGAGAAUCCCGUCCUUAAUACAGACUCCCCAGUACUAUGUGAUGCACUCUCAACGAGUCGAGUUGUUUGGGAUUGCAGCUCAAAAUGGGAGGUAAAUUCCUUCUAAAGCUAAAUAUUGGCGAGAGACCGAUAGCGAACAAGUACCGUGAGGGAAGAUGAAAAGCACUUUGGAAAGAGAGUUAACAGUACGUGAAAUUGUUAAAAGGGAAACAAUUG